GUAAAAUAUAAGAUAUAAUAUUAUUUUUAUGGGACACAUGAAUUAUUUAAGUUGCUUUAAUAACAAGCAGAAGUGUCAGACUUGAUUAAUUCCUCUUUGGUUAGAUGACGGUGGGAUCAAACAUGAUUUUCAAACAUAACUAAACAAUGGCUUUCAGCAGAGGGGCUUAUUUACUAAGCAGUUAAUUAACAUGACUGACAAAAGGGCUUCCACACGCCACGCUAUGGCUUCUCGCCCUGAUACUAGUAAUCCCAGAACUGCAGAUCAAGACUUGAAAAACGUUCAAAGUGAAUUUCACAUCUUCCAGUAUAAAGGAAUAAAAUCAGCAAAUUACAGUUCUAUCAAGC